CUCUCUUCAGCCCUUCUCUCUCCCUCGUGUAACUCUCUCUCUCUCCGACGCAAUCGUCUUUCUCCCUCAGCGGUGGCUAUUCAUCCAAGCUUAACUCCACGAUUCACAUCCACGAGAUGUUCACAUAUUAACUGGUGAAAAUAAUUGAACAGAGAAAAUCCAAUGAUGCAGAAGUCGAGUCACUGCGAGAGGAAUACCAUCAAAGGGUUGCAACACUUGAAAGGAAGGUGUAUGCUCUUACAAAGGAAAUGGACACGCUUCGGCGGGAGCAGAAUAAGAAAAGUGAUGCAGCUGCUCUUCUGAAGGAAAAUGAUGAAAUAAUUAAUCAAGUUAUGGCUGAAGGUGAAGAGCUUUCAAAAAAGCAGGCUGCUCAAGAAGGACAGAUUAGGAAAUUAAGGGCUCAGAUCAGAGAGUUUGAAGAAGAGAAGAAAGGGUUGAUUACUAAACUUCAGGUAAUUCAUUUAUGUUAGAAUCUUUAAAAUUGUGGUUCUCUGAUUUCGUUUGAUAAAGACAACUCUUGACCAGCAUAUUGAAGAGCAAUUUGGUUGUGGUCGUCUAUUGGCUUGUAUCUCAUCACGACCUGGACAGUGGCUGUGCUGAUGGGAUGGGAAAACAUUGGACAAC